UUAUGCAAACCUAUCUAAAAUGCAACCUGCAAUCUCUAAUAAAAUAAACGUGUAACAAAUUUGAAUUUAAAUAAUAUUUAUAUCGCAAAUAGUUUCUGUUAACUGUGAUGAAGUUGAGAAGAUCAUUGAGAUUUGAUUCAAUUUUUCUCUCUAUCGUACUUGGUGUAAUUGGUGGUCUUUACAUUUGGGCACCUAUAUUGAAAGAAUUAAAAAUUAAAAAUGACAAACGAGAACAGUCCAUUACAGAAACUGUCGACAAUGAAUCAUGGGAAGAUUAAAAUUGCAAUCGGAUUUAUAGCAGUAUAUUUUUCUAUUGUAGGAAUCAAAAUAAAAUUACUACCAUAUUUAAAGA